rnacentral:rRNA from 1 species
GACAGAGGAUGCAAGCGUUAUCCGGAAUGAUUGGGCGUAAAGCGUCUGUAGGUGGCUUUUCAAGUCCGCCGUCAAAUCCCAGGGCUCAACCCUGGACAGGCGGUGGAAACUACCAAGCUGGAGUACGGUAGGGGCAGAGGGAAUUUCCGGUGGAGCGGUGAAAUGCGCAGAUAUCAGGAGGAACACCGAUGGCGAAGGCAGAUCUCUGGGCCGUAACUGACGCUGAGGAGCGAAAGCGUGGGGAGCGAACAGG